rnacentral:rRNA from 1 species
UACGGAGGGUGCAAGCGUUAUCCGGAAUUACUGGGCGUAAAGGGUGCGUAGGUGGUUUCUUAAGUCAGAGGUGAAAGGCUACGGCUCAACCGUAGUAAGCCUUUGAAACUGGGAAACUUGAGUGCAGGAGAGGAGAGUGGAAUUCCUAGUGUAGCGGUGAAAUGCGUAGAUAUUAGGAGGAACACCAGUUGCGAAGGCGGCUCUCUGGACUGUAACUGACACUGAGGCACGAAAGCGUGGGGAGCAAACAGGAUUAGAUACCCCUGUAGUCCCUGA